rnacentral:lncRNA from 1 species
UUGAAUUUGAAUUCAAUGAUAAUUCUAAAAAUUCGCAUAUGAUUUCAAGUGUUCAAGAACCAAAGCUCGAUUUGAAACCAUUUUUUGAGAAUUUCUCUCAAUUGGAAAAGUCCGUUGCUAUACAUGAUUCUAAAGAUUGAUAUCCUUUUCUUUUUAUUUUAUUUUGUAUGUUUAUUUUCAGUUUUAUAAUGUUGUGUGUGUGUGUUUUUUUUUUUUAGGUGUGUUUCUUUUAUUAUUGCUGUUUUUUUUUUCUUUUUUUCACUAAUAAAAUUGAAGGAUCAUAUAGACACUAAUCACACUCCCAAAAACUUGCUACAACUUUAAGGUUGCAAACCCAAGUGCAGGUUGUCGCAAGUAGUAAAUCUCGG